rnacentral:rRNA from 1 species
UACGAAGGGGGCUAGCGUUGCUCGGAAUUACUGGGCGUAAAGCGCACGUAGGCGGAUUUGCCAGUCAGGGGUGAAAUCCCGGGGCUCAACCUCGGAACUGCCUCUGAUACAGCAAGUCUUGAGUCCGGAAGAGGUGGGUGGAAUUCCUAGUGUAGAGGUGAAAUUCGUAGAUAUUAGGAAGAACACCAGUGGCGAAGGCGGCCCACUGGUCCGGUACUGACGCUGAGGUGCGAAAGCGUGGGGAGCAAACAGG